rnacentral:rRNA from 2 species
CUCGGUAACUGGAGCGGCGUGGAACCACCUCUUCCCAUACCGAACAGAGUCGUUAAACACACCAGCGCCGACGAUAGUCAUCCCACAAGGGAUUUUGAAAAUAGGUCGUUGCCGGGA